CUAUGCCCUAGGGCUAGUGGAAGACUUAAGAUGGCGGCGUUUGCACGGAGUGCAAUCACUGCGUCCUUACGGGGGUUGCAAGGCGUCCGAAGUAUGAGUCCACUAACAAAAGUCCAGAAACUCGCCAGUUAAUAGUAUUGUGUCUCUUCAAAAUAUCGGAGAAUAAUUUCUUUCUCGCUGAUCGCCUAACUUCUACUGACGAAGCUUGGAAGUUGCAGAAGAUGGAGUUCGCUCUUGUUGCCCAGGCUGGAAUGCAAUGGCAUGACCUUGGCUCACUGCAACCUCUGCCUCCCCAGUUCAAGUGGUUCUCCUGCCUCAGCCUCCCGAGUAGCUGAGAUUACAGAAAUACAAAAAAAAUUCUAAAACUUGUAUGGAACUACAAAAGACAUUAAAUAAUCAAAGUAAUCUUGAGCAACAAGGACACAGCUGGAGGCAUCACUCUACCUGAUUUUGUAAUCCAUUAUCAAAAAACUGUGGUACCAGCAUAAAAACAGAUUCACUGACCAGUGGAACAGGAAAGCCCAGACAUAACUCAUACAUUUCCAUCCAAUUGAUUUUUGACAAAAGUGGCACACAGAAUGGGGAGAGGACAAAUAAAUAAAUAAAUUGUUUUGAGAUAUCUGUAUAUCUAUAUGUGAAAUUGAACCAUUUUCUCAUAGCAUAUAGAAAAAUCAACUCAAAAUGGAUUAAAGCCUGAAAUGUUGCCUUUGAAACUGUAAAACUACUAGUAGAAAAUAUAGGGGAAAAGCUCUAUGAUGUUGUUCUGGGCAAUGAUUUCUUGGAUACAUCCUUAAAAGCAUGGGCAGCAAAAACAGCCAGACAACUAUCAGGGAACCUGCCCAGAUAGUCACAUAGGUUCUUUUCUAUUUUCCCUAAGCAUUGGCCGGGUUGAGAAAUAAAGGGACAGAGUACAAAAGAGAGAAAUUUUAAAGCUGGGCAUCCUGGGGAGACAUCACAUGUCGGUAGGUUCCGUGAUGCCCCCUGAGCCGUAAAACCAGUAAGUUUUUAUUAGGGAUUUUCAAAGGGGAGGGAGUAUACGAAUAGGAGGUGGGUCACAGAGAUCACGUGCUUCACAAGGUAAUAGAAUAUCACAAGGCAAAUGGAGGCAGGGCGAGAUCACAGGACCACAGGACUGGGUUGAAAUUAAAAUUGCUAAUGAAGUUUCGGGCACCAUCGUCAUUGAUAACAUCUUAUCAGGAGACAGGGUUUGAGAGCAACCUGUCUGACCAAAAUUUAUUAGGUGGGAAUUUCCUCGUCCUAAUAAGCCUGGGAGCGCUAUGGGAGACUGGGGCUUAUUUCAUCCCUACAGUCUCGACCAUAGAAGACAGCUACACCCAAGGGGGCCAUUUUAGAGGCCCACCCUCAGGGGCACAUUCUCUUUCUCAGGGAUGUUCCUUGCUGAGAAAAAGAAUUCGGCGAUAUUUCUCCCAUUUGCUUUUGAAAGAAGAGAAAUAUGGCUCUGUUCCGCCUGGCUCACCGGCGGUCAGAGUUUAAGGUUAUCUCUCUUAUUCCCUGAACAUUGCUGUUAUCCUGUUCUUUUUUCAAGGUGCCUAGAUUUCAUAUUGUUUAAACACACAUGCUCUACAAUUUCUGCACUUAACACAAUUAUCACAGGGUCCUGAGGCGACAUACGUCCUCCUCGGCUUACGAGAUGACAGGAUUAAGAGAUUAAAACAGGCAUAGGAAAUCACAAGGGUAUUGAUUGGGGAAGUGAUAAGUGUCCAUGAAAUCUUCACAAUUUAUGUUUAGAGAUUGCAGUAAAGACAGGCAUAAGAAAUUAUAAAAGUAUUAAUUUGGGGAACUAAUAAAUGUCCAUGAAAUCUUCACGAUCCACGUUCUUCCGCCAUGGCUUCAGCCAGUCCCUCCGUUUGGGGUCCCUGACUUCCCGCAACAGACAACUUGAGUUGCAUCAAACUAAAAAGCAUCUGCACUGCAAAGGGUACAGUUAACAGAAUGAAGACACGGGUUUUGAGAAACCAUUUUCAAAUCAUAUAUCUGAUAAGGGGCUAAUAUCCAAAAUGUAUUAAGAAACCCAAGCCCAAUAGCAAGAAAACAACUGUCUUUAAAAGGGGGAAAAGGACCUCAACUUAAAUUUUUCAGAGGAAGACAUGAGUGGCCAAUUGAUUGAUACAUGAAAAAAAUGCUCAACAUCUCUAAUCAUUAGUGAGUUGCAAAUCAAAACUGCAAGAUAUUACCUUACACCUUUUAGAAUGGCUAUUAUUAAAAGGAUGAAAGACAGGUGCUGGCAAGGAUGUGGAUAAAAGGAAGUCCCAACAUUCUGUUAGUGGGAAUAUAAAUUAGUAUAGCCAAUUUAGGAAACUAUAUGGUGGUUCCUUAAGAAACUAAAAGUACAAUUACUAUAUGAUCUAGCAAUCUCUACUUAGGUAUAUAUCCAAAGGAAUUGAAGCAGUAUGUUGAGAUCUUGCACUCCCUUAUUUUGAAAUUAUUUACAAAGCUAAUAAAUGGAAAAGACUUAAGUUUUCAUAACAGAUGAAUGGACAUAGAAGAUGUGUUGUAUAUACAUAUUGGAAUAUUUUUUAUCCUUGGAAAAGAAGGAAAAUUGUCAUUUGUGACAACAUGGAUGAAUCUGUAGUAUACUAUGCUAAGUGUUGUAAGACAGGCACAGAGAGGCAAAUACUACAUUAUAUUUGUAUGUGGAAUCUAAGAAAGGCUAACUCAUACAAGUAGAAAGUUGGAUGUUAUGGUUUCCAGGAUGUGGGUGUUGGAGAGAUGGGCAAAGGCAAGACGUUGGUCAAAGAGUACCAAUUUUCUGUUAGGAGGAAUAAGUUUUAGACAUAUUUCACAGCAUGGUGACCAUUGUCACUGACUGUAUAUUUUAAAAUUGUUAUAAGUAGAUAUUAAAGUUGUCACAACAAAAGUAGGUGAAGUUAUGGAUAUGUUAAUGUGCUUGAUUUAGUUAUUACACUAUGUAUACAUACAAAAACAUCAGAUAGUUCCCUGGAAUUAUAUACAAUUAUUACUUGUCAAUUAUAAAAAAAAGCCCUACUGCAACCACUAAAAAGGAUUUUCAUAUAAUAGAGGGAAAAAUCGUUAAAGAUAAUAAUACAUUAUUUUAGAAAAUAUUAACUUAUAAAAAGUAGUAUAGGAGGGAUUCUGUAAAAGAAGAUAGACAUAGAAUUUUAAAAUGUAUAAUGGAAAAUUUAAAUCCAGCUGUACUGAUGGAUCAAGCAAUCCAAACCAGUCUGAUUGACCAAGUGGAUAUUUAAAAAACAAUCAAACUAUAAGGUGUCUGUUGUAGGCAGUUUAUAAAAUACAAAAGUGUUGAAAGAAAUAGGAUGGAAAUAGAAAUAUCCAAGUAGCAACCACAAAAAAACUGGAAUGUCUGCACUAACAUCAUACAAAACAAACCAAAUGAAGGUUAAAAAUAUUGAAAUUAUACAAAAUAUGUUCUAUGACUAAAAUUUAAUGAAAUUAGAAAUAACACAGAGAUAGGAACUAUACAUAUUUGUGCAAAUUUAAAAAGUUAUGCUGAGUGUGGUGGCUCACACCUGUAAUCCCAGCACUUUGGGAGGCCGGGGAGGGUGGAUCACUUGAAGUCAGGAGUUGGAGACCAGCCUGGCCAACAUGGUGAAACCCUGUCUCUACUAAAAAUACAGAAAAUUAGCCAGAUGUGGUGGUGUGCGCCUGUAGUCCCAGCUACUCGGGUGGCUGAGGCACUAGAAUCACUUGAGCCUAGGAGGCAGAGGUGGCAGUGAGCCGAGAUCACACCACUGCACUGCAGCCUGGGCGACAAAGAC
ensembl:lncRNA JPX JPX transcript, XIST activator